CGUAGGGACCAAGCGUUGUUCGGAUUUACUGGGCGUAAAGGGCGCGUAGGCGGCAUGACAAGUCACUUGUGAAAUCUCUGGGCUUAACCCAGAACGGCCAAGUGAUACUGUCGCGCUAGAGUGCGGAAGGGGCAAUCGGAAUUCUUGGUGUAGCGGUGAAAUGCGUAGAUAUCAAGAGGAGCACCUGAGGUGAAGACGGGUUGCUGGGCCGACACUGACGCUGAGUGCGCGAAAGCCAGGGGAGCAAACGGGAUUAGAUACCCCGGUAGUCCUGGCCCUAAACGAUGAAUACUUGGUGUCUGGAGUUAUUAGUGCUCCGGGUGCCGUCGCUAACGUUUUUAGUAUUCCGCCUGGGGAGUACGCUCGCAAGAGUG
rnacentral:rRNA from 1 species